rnacentral:rRNA from 1 species
AGGGAUCAUUACUGAGUUUACGCUCUACAACCCUUUGUGAACAUACCUACAACUGUUGCUUCGGCGGGUAGGGUCCCCGUGACCCUCCCGGCCUCCCGCCCCCCCGGGCGGGUCGGCGCCCGCCGGAGGAUAACCAAACUCUGAUUUAACGACGUUUCUUCUGAGUGGUACAAGCAAAUAAUCAAAACUUUUAACAACGGAUCUCUUGGUUCUGGCAUCGAUGAAGAACGCAGCGAAAUGCGAUAAGUAAUGUGAAUUGCAGAAUUCAGUGAAUCAUCGAAUCUUUGAACGCACAUUGCGCCCGCCAGCAUUCUGGCGGGCAUGCCUGUUCGAGCGUCAUUUCAACCCUCAAGCUCUGCUUGGUGUUGGGGCCCUACAGCUGAUGUAGGCCCUCAAAGGUAGUGGCGGACCCUCCCGGAGCCUCCUUUGCGUAGUAACUUUACGUCUCGCACUGGGAUCCGGAGGGACUCUUGCCGUAAAACCCCCCAAUUUUCCAAAGGUUGACCUCGGAUCAGGUAGGAACACCCGCUGAACUUAA